rnacentral:rRNA from 1 species
GACGUAGGGCGCGAGCGUUGUCCGGAUUUAUUGGGCGUAAAGAGCUCGUAGGCGGCUUGUCGCGUCGUCCGUGAAAACCAGGGGCUCAACCCCUGGCUUGCGGUCGAUACGGGCAGGCUAGAGUUCGGUAGGGGAGACUGGAAUUCCGUGGUGUGCGGUGAAAUGCGCAGAUAAUCGAGGAGGAACACCGGUGGCGAAGGCGGCGAUCUGGGACGAUACUGACGCUGAGGACGAAGCGUGGG